rnacentral:rRNA from 1 species
GACCCUACGGGGGGCAGCAGUGGGGAAUAUUGGGCAAUGGGCGCAAGCCUGACCCAGCAACGCCGCGUGAAGGAAGAAGGCCCUCGGGUUGUAAACUUCUUUUAUUCGGGACGAAACAAAUGACGGUACCGAAUGGAUAAGCCACGGCUAACUACGUGCCAGCAGCCGCGGUAAUACGUAGGUGGCAAGCGUUAUCCGGAUUUACUGGGUGUAAAGGGAGCGUAGACGGCAGUGCAAGU